ACCAUGGCCUGGGCUCUGCUCCUUGUCACCCUCCUCACUCAGGACACAGGAUCCUGGGCCCAGUCUGGCCUGACUCAGCCUCCCUCAGUGUCCGGGAAUCUGGGACAGACGGUCACCAUCUCUUGUGCUGGAACCAGCAGUGACAUCGGGGGUUAUAACUAUGUCGGCUGGUACCAACAGCUCCCAGGCACGGCCCCCAAAACCUUGAUUUAUCAGGUCAAUAAACGACCCUCAGGGAUCCCUGAUCGCUUCUCUGGCUCCAAGUCUGGCAACACGGCCUCCCUGACCAUCUCUGGGCUCCAGGCUGAGGACGAGGCCGAUUAUUACUGUAGUUCAUAUAGAAGUGCUCUGUCACUGAGCAGGAUAUGGAUGGGUUUUCAAAAGAGCACGAUGGGAUACACACUGAAUCUAGAGGAUCAUUGA